CAGACAGCGAAAGAAGAGCACUGCUCGGCUAAUCAGCAUUCUGAUUGGUUAAUAAAGGAAGUCCUUACUGACUCGAAGAAAAACAAAUAUUGUAUCCUUUGUAGAAGGAGAAGACAUGCACUACUGGGAGCUAGCUGAACACGCUGGGUUUGCCAAUCAGCUGCUAUCCCCCAGCAGCACAAUGCAGCUCCGGAGCCUACCUAGAUAUGCUUUUCAACAAAGGAUACCAAGAAGACAAAGCAUAUUGGAUACCAUAAGUAAAUUGGAAAGUUGUUUAAAAUUGCAUGCUAUAAAUAAAUAAGUUUACUUUUGAGUUUACUGUU